GACGAACGCUGGCGGCGUGCCUAAUACAUGCAAGUUGAGCGCUGAAGGUUGGUACUUGUACCGACUGGAUGAGCAGCGAACGGGUGAGUAACGCGUGGGGAAUCUGCCUUUGAGCGGGGGACAACAUUUGGAAACGAAUGCUAAUACCGCAUAAAAACUUUAAACACAAGUUUUAAGUUUGAAGGAUGCAAUUGCAUCACUCAAAGAUGAUCCCGCGUUGUAUUAGCUAGUUGGGUAGGUAAAGGCUCACCAAGGCGAUGAUACAUAGCCGACCUGAGAGGGUGAUCGGCCACAUUGGGACUGAGACACGGCCCAAACUUCUACGGGAGGCAGCAGUAGGGAAUCUUCGGCAAUGGACGAAAGUCUGACCGAGCAACGCCGCGUGAGUGAAGAAGGUUUUCGGAUCGUAAAACUCUGUUGGUAGAGAAGAACGUUGGUGAGAGUGGAAAGCUCAUCAAGUGACGGUAACUACCCAGAAAGGGACGGCUAACUACGUGCCAGCAGCCGCCGUAA
rnacentral:rRNA from 1 species